CCUACGGGUGGCUGCAGUAAAGAAUCUUCCACAAUGGGCGAAAGCCUGAUGGAGCGACACCGCGUGCAGGAUGACGGCCUUUGGGUUGUAAACUGCUUUUCUGAGGGAAUAAUUCUGAAGGUACCUUAGGAAUAAGCACCGGCUAAUCACGUGCCAGCAGCCGCGGUAAUACGUGAGGUGCAAACGUUACCCGGAAUCAUUGGGCGUAAAGCGUCCGCAGGCGGCAUAGCAAGUCAGAUGUUAAAUCUUGAGGCUCAACUUCAAGCUCGUAUCUGAAACUGCUAAGCUAGAGAAUUGGAGAGGCGAGUGGAAUUCUAUAUGUAGGGGUAAAAUCCGUAGAUAUAUAGAGGAACACCAAAAGCGAAGGCAGCUCGCUGGCCAAUUUCUGACGCUCAUGGACGAAAGCGUGGGGAGCAAACGGGAUUAGAUACCCCAGUAGUCC
rnacentral:rRNA from 1 species